rnacentral:rRNA from 1 species
AUACGGAGGGUGCAAGCGUUACUCGGAAUCACUGGGCGUAAAGCGCGCGCAGGCGGCUUGAUAAGUUGGAUGUGAAAGCCUACGGCUCAACCGUAGAACUGCAUCCAAAACUAUUAGACUAGAGUGUGGGAGAGGAAGAUGGAAUUAGUUGUGUAGGGGUAAAAUCCGUAGAGAUAACUAGGAAUACCAAAAGCGAAGGCAAUCUUCUGGAACACUACUGACGCUGAGGCGCGAAAGCGUGGGGAGCAAACAGGAUUAGAAACCCUUGUAGUCC